rnacentral:Y_RNA from 1 species
GGCUGGUCCGAUGGUAGUGGGUUAUCAGAACUUAUUAACAUUAGUGUCACUAAAGUUGGUAUUCAACCAACCACUGCUAAAUUUGACUGGCUUUAA